rnacentral:rRNA from 1 species
CGGACGGGUGGAGUAACGCGUGGGUAACCGUGCCAUAUACAGGGGGAGUAACACUUAGAAAUAGGUGCUAAUACCGCAUAAGCGCACAUGGCCGCAUGGCCAGGUGUGAAAAACUCCGGUGGUAUAUGAUGGACCCGCGUCUGAUUAGCUAGUUGGUGGGGUAACGGCCCACCAAGGCGACGAUCAGUAGCCGGCCUGAGAGGGUGGACGGCCACAUUGGGACUGAGACACGGCCCAAACUCCUACGGAAGGCAGCAG